GAUGAAGAACGUAGCGAAAUGCGAUAAGUAAUGUGAAUUGCAGAAUUCAGUGAAUCAUCGAAUCUUUGAACGCACAUUGCGCCCGCCAGCAUUCUGGCGGGCGUGCCUGUUCGAGCGUCAUUUCAACCCUCAAGCUCUGCUUGGUGUUGGGGCCCUACGGUUGACGUAGGCCCUUAAAGGUAGUGGCGGACCCUCUCGGAGCCUCCUUUGCGUAGUAACUAACGUCUCGCAUUGGGAUUCGGAGGGACUCUUGCCGUAAAACCCCCAAAUUUUCUAAUGGUUGACCUCGGAUCAGGUAGGAAUACCCGCUGAACUUAAGCAUAUCAAUAAGCGGAGGA
rnacentral:misc_RNA from 1 species